rnacentral:rRNA from 1 species
UACGUAGGGGGCAAGCGUUGUCCGGAUUUAUUGGGCGUAAAGAGCGUGUAGGCGGUUCGGUAGGUCCGUUGUGAAAACUCGAGCUCAACCUCGAGACGCCGAUGGAAACCCCCGAACUAGAGUCCGGAAGAGGAGAAUGGAAUUCCUGGUGUAGCGGUGAAAUGCGCAGAUAUCAGGAAGAACACCCGUGGCUAAGGCGGUUCUCUAGUACGGUACUGACGCUGGAGACGCGAAAGCGUGGGGAGCGAACGGG